rnacentral:rRNA from 1 species
CAGCAGCCGCGGUAAUACAGAGGGUGCAAGCGUUAAUCGGAUUUACUGGGCGUAAAGGGCGCGUAGGUGGUUAUUUAAGUGAGAUGUGAAAUCCCCGGGCUUAACCUGGGAACUGCAUCUUAUACUGGGUAACUGGAGUGCAGUAGAGGGUAGUGGAAUUUCCGGUGUAGCGGUGAAAUGCGUAGAUAUCGGAAGGAACACCAGUGGCGAAGGCGGCUACCUGGACUGAGACUGACACUGAGGCGCGAGAGCGUGGGGAGCAAACAGGAUUAGAUACCCGUGUAGUCCCUGUCUCUUAUAC